rnacentral:piRNA from 1 species
UAAGCUUCGUGUAAAACAUGGUAGAGCC